UGUAGCUGCAUGGUAUUCUGCUGCAGGCGUGUUCCCAUCAUCUGCAGCUGUUACUCUCAGGCUGCAGGGGAAACUGACAGGGAAACCUGCCCGGCCCACUGAGCCUGUUCCAGCUCGCCCCCUCCCACCAUCAACCUGUCAGCCUUCACCUGAAUCCUCCGCCUGCAGCUCCAACCUUACAUAACAGGUAUUUCCCAGAAGCCUGUUGGAACAGAGCCGUCAACAUGUGAGGUAUGGAGGGAAAAAACACACACAUACCUGUGGAGUAUGUGGUUGUGCAACAGUACAGUGACCUUCACUACAGAGCCUCAGCUGAGACCGAAGAAGAGUCAUGGUUUCGUGCUCACUUUACAUGUCUACAUAGAAUCUGCAUGAAGCUACGUUCAUCUUUCCCUGUAAAGUGUUUAUCUCUGUAGGCUGAGAGUGACCUUUGACCUUGACAUAUCCAAGGAAGGAGAGGCUGCGGUGGCUGCAUGUUGGAAAUCAUUGAUCAGUGAUUGAUCCCAUGUGACAGAGUUUACAGGCACUGCGUAAGAAACAGUGUAAUUGUUGGGGACUACUUUCAGCGGCGGAUUAAUCCACAUCAGAGAUCAUGUGUAACAUGU